UGGCGGACGGGUGAGUAAUGUCUGGGAAACUGCCUGAUGGAGGGGGAUAACUACUGGAAACGGUAGCUAAUACCGCAUAACGUCGCAAGACCAAAGAGGGGGACCUUCGGGCCUCUUGCCAUCGGAUGUGCCCAGAUGGGAUUAGCUAGUAGGUGGGGGAACGGCUCACCUAGGCGACGAUCCCUAGCUGGUCUGAGAGGAUGACCAGCCACACUGGAACUGAGACACGGUCCAG
rnacentral:rRNA from 1 species